AGGUUGGCUUAGAAGCAGCCAUCCUUUAAAGAAAGCGUAAUAGCUCACUAGUCGAAUCGGCCUGCGCGGAAGAUAUAACGGGGCUCAAACUAUACACCGAAGCUACGGACGCAUGCUUGCAUGCGUGGUAGAGGAGCGUUCUGUAGGCCGUUGAAGGGAAAGCUGAGAGGCAUCCUGGAGGUAUCAGAAGUGCGAAUGCUGACAUGAGUAACGAUAAGGGGAGUGAAAAGCUCCCCCGCCGGAAGACCAAGGUUUCCUAUCCAAUGCUAAUCAGGGUAGGGUGAGUCGGCCCCUAAGGCGAGGCUGAAGAGCGUAGUCGAUGGGAAGCAGGUUAAUAUUCCUGCACCACUCAAUAUUGCGAAGGAGGGACGGAGAAGGCUAGUCCAGCGCGGCGUUGGUUGUCCGCGUUUAAGCGUGUAGGCUUAAAUCUUAGGUAAAUCCGGGAUUUUUUAAGGCUGAGGCGUGAUGACGAGGUCCAUUAGGACUGAAGUGGUUGAUGCCAUGCUUCCAGGAAAAGCUUCUAAGCAUCAGAUAUUGAGUGACCGUACCCCAAACCGACACAGGUGGUCAGGUAGAGAAUACCAAGGCGCUUGAGAGAACUCGGGUGAAGGAACUAGGCAAAAUGGUACCGUAACUUCGGGAGAAGGUACGCCGCUGAUGGUGAUGGGACUUGCUCCCUAAGCUGUUGGCGGCCGAAGAUACCAGGUGGCUGCGACUGUUUAUUAAAAACACAGCACUGUGCAAACACGAAAGUGGACGUAUACGGUGUGACGCCUGCCCGGUGCCGGAAGGUUAAUUGAUGGGGUUAGCUUCGGCGAAGCUCUUGAUCGAAGCCCCGGUAAACGGCGGCCGUAACUAUAACGGUCCUAAGGUAGCGAAAUUCCUUGUCGGGUAAGUUCCGACCUGCACGAAUGGCGUAACGACGGCCACACUGUCUCCACCCGAGACUCAGUGAAAUUGAAAUCGCUGUUAAGAUGCAGUGUAUCCGCGGCUAGACGGAAAGACCCCGUGAACCUUUACUAUAGCUUCACAGUGAACUUUGAACCUAUUUGUGUAGGAUAGGUGGGAGGCUUUGAAGCGGUGACGCUAGUCAUCGUGGAGCCAAACUUGAAAUACCACCCUGGUAUGUUUGAGGUUCUAACUCAGGUCCGUAAUCCGGAUCGAGGACACUGUGUGGUGGGUAGUUUGACUGGGGCGGUCUCCUCCCAAAGAGUAACGGAGGAGCACGAAGGUAUGCUAAUCAUGGUCGGAAAUCAUGAGGUUAGUGCAAUGGCAUAAGCAUGCUUAACUGCGAGACAGACACGUCGAGCAGAUACGAAAGUAGGUCAUAGUGAUCCGGUGGUUCUGAAUGGAAGGGCCAUCGCUCAACGGAUAAAAGGUACUCCGGGGAUAACAGGCUGAUACCGCCCAAGAGUUCACAUCGACGGCGGUGUUUGGCACCUCGAUGUCGGCUCAUCACAUCCUGGGGCUGAAGCCGGUCCCAAGGGUAUGGCUGUUCGCCAUUUAAAGUGGUACGCGAGCUGGGUUUAGAACGUCGUGAGACAGUUCGGUCCCUAUCUGCCGUGGACGUUUGAGAUUUGAGAAGAGUUGCUCCUAGUACGAGAGGACCGGAGUGAACGAACCUCUGGUGUUCCGGUUGUCACGCCAGUGGCAUUGCCGGGUAGCUACGUUCGGACAGGAUAACCGCUGAAAGCAUCUAAGCGGGAAGCCCCCUUCAAGAUGAGAUCUCACAGGACUUUAAGUCCCUAAAGAGCCGUUCAAGACUAGGACGUUGAUAGGUUGGGUGUGUAAGCACGGUAACGUGUUGAGCUAACCAAUACUAAUUGCUCGUGAGGCUUGACCAU
rnacentral:rRNA from 1 species